rnacentral:rRNA from 1 species
ACGCUCGACACCUACGGAGGCAGCAGUGGGGAAUAUUGCACAAUGGGGGAAACCCUGAUGCAGCGACGCCGCGUGAAGGAAGAAGUAUUUCGGUAUGUAAACUUCUAUCAGCAGGGAAGAAACUGACGGUACCUGACUAAGAAGCACCGGCUAAAUACGUGCCAGCAGCUGCGGUAAUCUGAGCGGGCUGGCAAGGC